GGGACUCGAAACCCAAGGAAUCAGGUGGGAAGGGGAAGGGAAAGCAAGCAGCUUCCUCCGCAAUUGAUGAUAAUGCCUCCAAGGGUAAAGGGAAGGGUGGCAAGUCAAGUGAUGGGCUUGGUACCUGCACUUAUGGUAAAGGUUGUGUCAUCUCUUGUGAUCACGGUUUCCCUUGAUCAUAAUUUCCUUCGCAAUCAGUUGAUUUUAGUGUUUGAUUCAUUCAAAAUUAUGAUAUUAUUAAGCCUAGUACCUUUCAGAUAAUGUCAUGCAGAUUACUUCAAGGCACCAAUAGAUUGCACUAUCUAUUUGCAAAUGCCCUGUCCCCAUUCAUGGAUUAACAAGACAGCUUAUUUCUGUUCGACUCAAUCGAUCCUGAUUGGGUCAGACUAAUUUCAUUUCCAAACAAUCAGGAUAACCUGAAACCAGCUAAUCCUGAGUUGGUUCUGUCUAAUUUCUGAUUGAUUUUGUGUAUCAGGCUAGGUACUGGAAGCCAGAAUGACUCAUUCUGUUCUGCACCAAUCUUGGCCAAUUUUCCACCGACUCCCAACAGCUUGCUGAAAAGAUUUGGCAAAAAUCCGACCAUCUAAAAGAAAGGAAAAGGAAAAUCAAUGGGAAAAACAAUCCCACGAUCUGGUUUAGCUGAUCCAAUCAAUUGAGACUGGUUUAGAUUCUGGAUUGUGUUAUCAAUCCCAAAGCUGAUCCAAAUAUUAUGAAAUUUAAGAAGGUGCAGAAUUGCUGCUCACCUUUGUCAUCCAUUUCUUGAAUUCAUGAUUGAAUUUGACUAAUUCUAGUCUUAUUUGAUUGAAGCACAUUCAAGGAAGCUAGCUACUUUAUAGAGUUAAAUCUUGGGGCACCAAAGAUGGUCUCAUGUGCUCCGAAAUUAAUGGAAUAGCAAGGCACAUAUGUGAAAAACAAGGCAAGAUUAAUGAAGCAUACAAGAAGCUCCAAGAUGGCUGGCUAAGCAAUGGAGACAAGGUUCCCCCUGCUGAAUUUGCAAAGGUAGGUUCUCUGUUCUGUCCACUGAGAUUGUUUCAGAAUCUUGUGAGUUUAGCUAUGGGCAUGAUGAUUGGUAGAGCAUUGUGAUACAAUCUAGAUCCUUAUUUUAUGAUUCCCUACAACAUGUGCUCUCAGUUCUGCUUUUCUUUUCCUUUUUUUAGUGGGUUUAUUGUUCUUUUAUUUCAUUUUUUACUUUCAUUUUUUAGGUACUGUUGUGUUGAAGUAUGUAUUUUCUUCAUGUUGACUUGCACUUUCAGGGAAUGAUUGAUCUUGCAGUUUAAUUUUCUUGAACUUAAACCUUGAACCUGCAUGAAAUUAUAGGUCUUUAGAAGAUUUAUCUGUUUUUUUUGGGUGAAUUAUAUGUGGAAGAAAUUAGUUUUCCCUUGCCUCGUGCUGGCUGUCUGUCUCAGGUGGCAGCAGAAUAUUCCGAGUGUCCAUCAGGAAAGGAAGGUGGAGACGUUGGAUGGUUUCCGAGGGGAAAAAUGGCUGGUCCUUUUCAGGAUGCCGCAUUUAGUACACCUAUUGGAGCUACUAGCGCGCCAUUUAA